CGGACAGGUGCUACUUGUAGGAAAGCGGGAAAGGUCGGCCCCUAAUGCCAGCGACUUGGAGCUCCGCUAAUGUCAAGGCACUUACUUACCCUAGUUGACUUGGACACUAUGAAAGAGAAUUGGAGAAAUGGACUGAGUUCCCCGGGAGAGGUCCAUCAGACAACUGCGGUGACAUACACAAAGCAAUUAGCGAAGGCCAGCUGAUGAAAGCUACACCUCCAGCAUAAGAAAUAAAACACUUAAGGACAUUGCCAAAUAGGAAUUGAUUUGAGAGGUGGAAAGUCUUUAGGAGUUUACAGCUGAAGUCACAUGGAGAUAAGAGGAAGACCUUCUACGAUGGAGAACCACCAUAGAGGCCGCGUGCUGUGGCUGUAAUCCCAGUGGCUCAGAAGACUGAGACAGGAGGAUCAUGAGUUCAAAGCCAGCCUCAGCAACAGCAAGGUACUAAGCAACUCAGUGAGACUCUCUCUCUACCUAAAAUACAAAAUAGGGUUGGGGAUGUGGCACAGUGGCCGAGUGACCCUGAGUUCAAUCCCCAGUACCACCCCCCCAGAA
rnacentral:lncRNA from 1 species